GAUGACUUUACUUUAACACACUUCGACUCAAAAUAUCCUUGUUUGUUAAAGUGCGCUUCCCACCAACGGGAUAAGUAACGUUAAACGGUGCUUUCAAGCAGACAACAGACUAUAAAGUCACAA